rnacentral:sRNA from 1 species
UGUUGUGUGAUUGAAUUCACUGGGCAGUAUGGCAAAAUUGGAGUUACAGUUAGUAUUUUAGUUGAUUCUUGACUUUCACUCUGUCUCCCUUCAUGUUCCUUAGGUAUUCACAGCUUCACUCUGGAUCUAUGAAAAUAAAUGAUUGGCAGAGCAGGUCCUCCACUCGGGGAUGCCAACUGAAGAGAAAUUAAAUGAACUGCUCAACCACAAGUGCCUGAGGAAUUGCAGAGAUUUCACUGGAAAAUACUGACAAUACUGGCGUCUGCCAUGUUCAGUGGCUGAAGAAACGGGGCUGUGCUCCAUCAAUUCAAAGGACAUCCUCAUAAUAAACAUACGGAAUGAGUGGGAGAAAAUGUCACCUGGCUACUAAGAAUCCUGUGAAGUGGAUUAUUCAUGUGUAAUCCAUGAAGAUGCAGAAUCUUAGAAGAAUCAGAAAUUUGUCUAAAUGUGUUCACAUUUGUGGAAACAACCUUCUAAAUCAGGGCUGUCAAACUUCUGAAUUCGUUAAUCGCGGCACGGAGCUUUUAGUGAUUGGGUUGAAUGAGUAAAUUGGAAUAAAUUGCUAACAAUAGUAAGCCAUAUUCAAUAACUCUAAUAAAAGUAUUACAUCUCCAA